rnacentral:rRNA from 1 species
GAUGAACGCUGGCGGCGUGCCUAAUACAUGCAAGUCGAACGCAUAGCGAAAGGUGCUUGCACCUUUCAAGUGAGUGGCGAACGGGUGAGUAACACGUGGACAACCUGCCUCAAGGCUGGGGAUAACAUUUGGAAACAGAUGCUAAUACCGAAUAAAACUUAGUGUCGCAUGACACAAAGUUAAAAGGCGCUUCGGCGUCACCUAGAGAUGGAUCCGCGGUGCGUUAGUUAGUUGGUGGGGUAGAGGCCUACCAAGACAAUGAUGCAUAGCCGAGUUGAGAGACUGAUCGGCCACAUUGGGACUGAGACACGGCCCAAACUCCUACGGGAGGCUGCAGUAGGGAAUCUUCCACAAUGGGCGAAAGCCUGAUGGAGCAACGCCGCGUGUGUGAUGAAGGCUUUCGGGUCGUAAAGCACUGUUGUAUGGGAAGAACAGCUAGAAUAGGAAAUGAUUUUAGUUUGACGGUACCAUACCAGAAAGGGACGGCUAAAUACGUG